rnacentral:rRNA from 1 species
UACAGAGGGUGCGAGCGUUAAUCGGAAUUACUGGGCGUAAAGCGUGCGUAGACGGUCAUGUAAGUCGGGUGUGAAAGCCCCGGGCUCAACCUGGGAAUUGCAUUCGAGACUGCAUGGCUAGGAUGCGGAAGAGGGAAGCGGAAUUUCCGGUGUAGCGGUGAAAUGCGUAGAUAUCGGGAGGAAUACCAGUGGCGAAGGCGGCUUCCUGGCCUGUUCUUGACGCUGAGGCGCGAAAGCUAGGGUAGCAAACGGG